rnacentral:lncRNA from 1 species
UAUCAAGUAACAUAAAUGGUAAGACCAAGUAUCAUUUUUCCUAGAGACUAAUUGGCCUACAAAAUCAUGUGAUUUGUUGAUUAAUUAAGACUUGAGAACGAAAAUCAGUGUUUAUAAUGCAGAAAAUUAAAUAUGCAUGCAAGUGUUGAUCAAUUGACCAAAGAAUACGAAGGGGAAUGAUGUAUGGAUUAAUUAUGUUGUUGGGGUUUCCGAC